UACGUAGGGGGGCGAGCGUUGUCCGGAAUUAUUGGGCGUAAAGAGCGUGUAGGCGGUUCGGUAAGUCUGCCGUGAAAACCUGGGGCUCAACCCCAGGCGUGCGGUGGAUACUGCCGGGCUAGAGGGUGGUAGAGGCGAGUGGAAUUCCCGGUGUAGCGGUGAAAUGCGCAGAUAUCGGGAGGAACACCAGUAGCGAAGGCGGCUCGCGUGGGCCAUACCGUGACGCCUGAGACGCGAAAGCCGUGGGGAGCAAACAGGGAUUAAGA
rnacentral:rRNA from 1 species